rnacentral:rRNA from 1 species
GGGUGAGAAUCCCGUCCACCGAUUGACUAAGGUUUCCAGAGGAAGGCUCGUCCGCUCUGGGUUAGUCGGGUCCUAAGCUGAGGCCGACAGGCGUAGGCGAUGGAUAACAGGUUGAUAUUCCUGUACCACCUAUAAUCGUUUUAAUCGAUGGGGGGACGCAGUAGGAUAGGCGAAGCGUGCGAUUGGAUUGCACGUCUAAGCAGUAAGGCUGAGUAUUAGGCAAAUCCGGUACUCGUUAAGGCUGAGCUGUGAUGGGGAGAAGACAUUGAGUCUUCGAGUCGUUGAUUUCACACUGCCGAGAAAAGCCUCUAGAUAGAAAAUAGGUGCCCGUACCGCAAACCGACACAGGUAGUCAAGAUGAGAAUUCUAAGGUGAGCGAGCGAACUCUCGUUAAGGAACUCGGCAAAAUGACCCCGUAACUUCGGGAGAAGGGGUGCUCUUUAGGGUUAACGCCCAGAAGAGCCGCAGUGAAUAGGCCCAAGCGACUGUUUAUCAAAAACACAGGUCUCUGCUAAACCGUAAGGUGAUGUAUAGGGGCUGACGCCUGCCCGGUGCUGGAAGGUUAAGAGGAGUGGUUAGCUUCUGCGAAGCUACGAAUCGAAGCCCCAGUAAACGGCGGCCGUAACUAUAACGGUCCUAAGGUAGCGAAAUUCCUUGUCGGGUAAGUUCCGACCCGCACGAAAGGCGUAACGAUUUGGGCACUGUCUCAACGAGAGACUCGGUGAAAUCAUAGUACCUGUGAAGAUGCAGGUUACCCGCGACAGGACGGAAAGACCCCGUGGAGCUUUACUGUAGCCUGAUAUUGAAAUUCGGCACAGCUUGUACAGGAUAGGUAGGAGCCUUUGAAACGUGAGCGCUAGCUUACGUGGAGGCGCUGGUGGGAUACUACCCUAGCUGUGUUGGCUUUCUAACCCGCACCACUUAUCGUGGUGGGAGACAGUGUCAGGCGGGCAGUUUGACUGGGGCGGUCGCCUCCUAAAAGGUAACGGAGGCGCUCAAAGGUUCCCUCAGAAUGGUUGGAAAUCAUUCAUAGAGUGUAAAGGCAUAAGGGAGCUUGACUGCGAGACCUACAAGUCGAGCAGGGUCGAAAGACGGACUUAGUGAUCCGGUGGUUCCGCAUGGAAGGGCCAUCGCUCAACGGAUAAAAGCUACCCCGGGGAUAACAGGCUUAUCUCCCCCAAGAGUUCACAUCGACGGGGAGGUUUGGCACCUCGAUGUCGGCUCAUCGCAUCCUGGGGCUGUAGUCGGUCCCAAGGGUUGGGCUGUUCGCCCAUUAAAGCGGUACGCGAGCUGGGUUCAGAACGUCGUGAGACAGUUCGGUCCCUAUCCGUCGUGGGCGUAGGAAAUUUGAGAGGAGCUGUCCUUAGUACGAGAGGACCGGGAUGGACAUACCUCUGGUGUACCAGUUGUCGUGCCAACGGCAUAGCUGGGUAGCUAUGUGUGGACGGGAUAAGUGCUGAAAGCAUCUAAGCAUGAAGCCCCCCUCAAGAUGAGAUUUCCCAACUUCGGUUAUAAGAUUCCUCAAAGAUGAUGAGGUUAAUAGGUUCGAGGUGGAAGCAUGGUGACAUGUGGAGCUGACGAAUACUAAUCGAUCGAAGACUUAAUCAA